CAAAAGGUUGAUAUAAGUUGAAGGUAAACCGAAGAGAAAUUCAGGCACAACUCUUGAUAUAGCAGAGGCAAUGUUGAGAGCUUCAAGAAAGAUAAAUACACUGUCAGGAAAUUCAAAAAGUAAAGAGAAGAAAGAAACAAUAGCUGUUGAGAAAGGAGGUUUGUCCAUGAAGCAAGCUAGAAGGAAAGUUAUUUUUGAUGCCGAUGGAGACUACUUUUACCUACCCUAGAUUUCUGGCGCAACCAAAUUCCAGUUUAUGAUGAGUUGUGCAGGAUCGGUUUCAGGAUUACUACUCUCGAGACCAGCACCGGAACUCAUUGACCAUCUCAUUGGAACAACCAAAUCCCUGCCAAUUUAUAAAUGACAAAGUAUCCAUAAACAUCCAUUUCAAUGCACAGAAGGAGGGAGGAGAGAGGUCACAGGUUUGAGACCUGCCCUUAUUCCUCAAAACAGGAAAAAGAACACGCGUGUUUAACAAUGGCUUCCUAAUGCUGAAGCCAACUCAAGCUACUGCUGCUGUACAAAUCCCACUCUAUAAUAUCUGAAGAAGGAAAAUAGAAAGAUGCAUACCCUUCAGUGCAUUUGUGUCUGCAGCGGUUCAUCUUAUUCUCUGUAUAAUUUCCAACGACAGCAUAGAGGCUCCUUGCUAGUUCCAGUGAAUCACGUAAUGAUAAAACAUCCCAAACCUUAAGAAUU